CUGAACUUACAGUACUUAAACGAAUAGUUUAUAAUUACAACAUUAAGAACAUUACUUAUUGACACUUAAAAGUGAUAUAAUAAACCCCGAGAAAUUUGGGAAGAAUAAUGAAUUUGAAAACAAAACAAGCUCUUAUUUUUGUUUCAAUUUCCUUAUGUUUUAAAAUACAUAUUAAGUAGUUUACCGAUAUUAAAACCACGUAUCUCAAUUUCGAAUAUACAAAAAAAAAAACCAGACAAAUUUUACAGGAAACUUAUGAACUUCAAAACAGGGGCGAAAGAUACCAAAGGGACAGUCAAACUCAUAGAUCGAAAAUAAAAUGGCAACGCCAUGGCUCAAAAAGAAAAAAUACAAACACAAAUAAUAGUACACAAGACACAACAUAGAAAACUAAAGACUAAUCAACAGGAACCCUACCAAAAACUGGAUACGAUCUCAGGUACUCUGGAAUGGUAAGUUGAUCCCGUUCCACAUGUGGCACCCGCGGUGUUGCUUAUGUUAAUAUUACAAACCUGGUAUUGUCUUAUUCGGUAGGUCACAUUCGUAACAGGUAUGCAACACCAGGUAUAUGUACAGUUUAACAAAUGUUGUAUUGACUUAAUGUACAUGUACGGCAUCUGUGUCAAUUCCACUGUCGGUAGUCUUUCAAUGUUGUUAAGAAGUUACCAUUAUAUUAUUUUGAUAACAUACAUUUCAAUUACUAUACAAGACAGGUGAAAGAGGACGAAGUCUGUAUAACGAAUGUUAUUUUUAUUGUGUUGUUGUCCAUAUUCUGUUUGGUAAUAAGAUAUGCAAGCUAGAGGGAAUUUGUAUUACUUUCAACAUGGCUACAGCUAGCAACAAAACAGGGACAGGGUAACACAACUGUUGAAAAUCAAUUUUAAGUUCAUAUUAAGUUAGUCGAUUUUUCGUACUAAUGAUUUUCUUACAGUUUUUUUUUUAUCUUCUCCCAACAUUUUUAACUGUAGUUAAAAUUGAUUCGGCAAAGAUAAAAUUUGCC
rnacentral:lncRNA from 1 species